AGGUUAGCGGCGGACGGGUGAGUAACACGUGGGCAACCUGCCUGUAAGAUCGGGAUAACGCCGGGAAACCGGGGCUAAUACCGGAUAGUUUUUUCCUCCGCAUGGAGGAAAAAGGAAAGACGGCUUCGGCUGUCACUUACAGAUGGGCCCGCGGCGCAUUAGCUAGUUGGUGGGGUAACGGCUCACCAAGGCAACGAUGCGUAGCCGACCUGAGAGGGUGAU
rnacentral:rRNA from 1 species